rnacentral:rRNA from 1 species
UACGAAGGGGGCUAGCGUUGCUCGGAAUUACUGGGCGUAAAGGGAGCGUAGGCGGAUAGUUUAGUCAGAGGUGAAAGCCCAGGGCUCAACCUUGGAAUUGCCUUUGAUACUGGCUAUCUUGAGUAUGGAAGAGGUAUGUGGAACUCCGAGUGUAGAGGUGAAAUUCGUAGAUAUUCGGAAGAACACCAGUGGCGAAGGCGACAUACUGGUCCAUUACUGACGCUGAGGCUCGAAAGCGUGGGGAGCAAACAGGG